GGUGAACGCUGGCGGUAGGCCUAACACAUGCAAGUCGAACGGAAACACAGGGGAGCUUGCUCUCUGGGUGGCGAGUGGCGGACGGGUGAGGAAUAAAUAGGAAUCUGCUCAGUCGUGGGGGAUAACGUGGGGAAACUUACGCUAAUACAGCAUACGACCUUCGGGUGAAAGAGGGGGAUCGCAAGACCUCUCGCGAGUGGAUGAGCCGAUGUCGGAUUAGCUAGUUGGCGGGGUAAGGGCCCACCAAGGCGACGAUCCGUAGCUGGUCUGAGAGGAUGAUCAGCCACACUGGAACUGAGACACGGUCCAGACUCCUACGGGAGGCAGCAGUGGGGAAUAUUGGACAAUGGGCGCAAGCCUGAUCCAGCCAUACCGCGUGGGUGAAGAAGGCCUUCGGGUUGUAAAGCCCUUUUGUUGGGAAAGAAAUCUUUCAGGCUAAUACCCUGGGAGGAUGACGGUACCCAAAGAAUAAGCACCGGCUAACUUCGUG
rnacentral:rRNA from 1 species